UGGGGAAUAUUGCACAAUGGGCGCAAGCCUGAUGCAGCCAUGCCGCGUGUGUGAAGAAGGCCUUCGGGUUGUAAAGCACUUUCAGCGAGGAGGAAGGGUAGUGUGUUAAUAGCACAUUGCAUUGACGUUACUCGCAGAAGAAGCACCGGCUAACUCCGUGCCAGCAGCCGCGGUAAUACGGAGGGUGCAAGCGUUAAUCGGAAUUACUGGGCGUAAAGCGCACGCAGUCGGUUUGUUAAGUCAGAUGUGAAAUCCCCGCGCUUAACGUGGGAACUGCAUUUGAAACUGGCAAGCUAGAGUCUUGUAGAGGGGGGUAGAAUUCCAGGUGUAGCGGUGAAAUGCGUAGAGAUCUGGAGGAAUACCGGUGGCGAAGGCGGCCCCCUGGACAAAGACUGACGCUCAGGUGCGAAAGCGUGGGGAGCAAACA
rnacentral:rRNA from 1 species